GUCUGGGUGGCUCAGUGGUUGAGCAUCUGACUUUAGCUCAGGUCGUGAUCCCGGGGUCCUGGGAUCGAAUCCCGCAUCAGGCU
rnacentral:tRNA from 1 species